AUAGUUUGAUCCUGGCUCAGAUUGAACGCUGGCGGCAUGCCUAACACAUGCAAGUCGAACGGAAACGAUGGGAGCUUGCUCCCAGGCGUCGAGUGGCGGACGGGUGAGUAAUACUUAGGAAUCUACCCAGUAGCGGGGGACAACUCGAGGAAACUCGAGCUAAUACCGCAUACGCCCUACGGGGGAAAGCAGGGGAUCUUCGGACCUUGCACUAUUGGAUGAGCCUAAGUCGGAUUAGCUUGUUGGUGAGGUAAAGGCUCACCAAGGCGACGAUCCGUAGCUGGUCUGAGAGGACGAUCAGCCACACUGGGACUGAGACACGGCCCAGACUCCUACGGGAGGCAGCAGUGGGGAAUAUUGGACAAUGGGGGCAACCCUGAUCCAGCAAUGCCGCGUGUGUGAAGAAGGCCUGCGGGUUGUAAAGCACUUUCAGUAGAGAAGAAAAGCCUACGGUUAAUACCCGUGAGUCUUGACGUUACCUACAGAAGAAGCUCCGGCUAACUCCGUGCCAGCAGCCGCGGUAAUACGGAGGGAGCGAGCGUUAAUCGGAAUUACUGGGCGUAAAGCGCGCGUAGGCGGCUUUGUAAGUCGGAUGUGAAAGCCCUGGGCUCAACCUGGGAAUGGCAUUCGAUACUGCAGAGCUAGAGUAUGGUUGAGGGAAGUGGAAUUUCCGGUGUAGCGGUGAAAUGCGUAGAUAUC
rnacentral:rRNA from 1 species